ensembl:lncRNA
CUCUAAAGUUCCAUCUCUCCACUAUGAUUAAGCAGGCAAAGACUGCCAGAGUUGACUUUCUCAGAACAAUGGAAUCUAUAACAAAAUUUACAACAUCUAGAUGGAUGCUUAGUGAAAAAAGAAGCCACUAAAUUUUGGCAGCCAAGAGCUGUUCUGGCGAGAUGAGAAGGAAACAGGUUCAGCACAUGUCUGGAUGAAGGCAACCCACAUCUAUAGCCUAGCAACAGAGGACAGCCCAGAUAGUCUCAUUCCUCACCAGGGUCAAGUAGGAGUCAUGCCAACAACAUAAGAGCAACUGACACAGCCAGAACUGUCCCUAGCAAAAUGGAAUGUGAGGUUACUGCAGCUAUGACCAAGUUUGCAUAUGCAAGCAAUGCCAACCACACCAGAACUAUUAUCUCUUGGACACUGUACAGUGUAUUACGUCUAAUUGCAUAAAUGCUAAAAGGUGGAGGGGGAAAUGUACAUCUAGGGUUAAUAAAGGAUGAUACACAACCUGUCAAAGACUCUCUUUUCUUUUGGUGAGGGCUUCAUGCUAUCUACAGGGGUCUGCAUUCUCUCCAAGCUCUUGUCUAUCUCCCCUUUGGUCUGUAAUGAUCACUUUCCAUCUCUGGGAGCCUUGUGUCUCCUGACUUAAUGCAUUGCAGGAUGCUGAGUCCAAGUUAUGAAAAAGCUAUAGCCAUUAGUGCAUUGCAUCCACCCUGUUUAGAUGAUCUCACCCUCAGCUAUCAAUAUUAGAG